GCUUUCCCUUUCCGGCCACCAAAAAGCGUAAAACCGGUGGCUACGGACUCGUCUCGACCUCCUCUUGGUGCCUGCGGUGAUGGCUCAUGGCGGCUUGGCCGGAAAAUGACGCAUCGAGCUGUGGAAGUUUCACUGUAGCAGAAGUGGUCAACGCCAGUUUCUCCCGAUUCCGGCCACCUCCGGCGACGAACCAUAAUCAUUUGGAAGCGCCUUGCGAUGUAGAUGAUGCUCCCCAAAUAUUUUGCAGCGAUUUGAAGCGUGGAGGAAGAAUUGAAGGGCAAUGUUGCGAGCUACGGCUAGAUGAAGGAACUCGUUUGCGUGGUCGCCCAUUAGUACUUUUGCAGGCGCUAUUAGUUGAGGUCGGGCGUACAUGGAUCGAGGCAUAGUUGACGAAUAGCUUCCGCGCUUCUUUGUUUGGCUCUGAUCUAUUGUGGGUUACUAUUUUGGGUAGUCCUCUUUAGGGGUGACUCGACCAGUUCUCGGUAGGGUUAUCUCUAAGGUGGGCCCCGCAGGGCCACCUCGGAUUUCUGGAUGAAAUUCGGGGCGGGUCCUGUCAUUUUUAUUAUUAAAAAAAAAAUGUUGUUCAUAAAUAUUAAUGACUGAGAUCUGCUGGUUCUCUUGUAAUGUCGAUGCGUAAAAGAAUUUUUCAUAUUUUGCAUGCUAUGUUAUACAAUUUGUUUGGCUCCAAAACUAGUUGGCUUGCAAAUUGUCUCUUUUGAGCGUGUGCGCAGGCGUGCCAGCACCGUGGGGUGCAGUCGUCGGGGUAGUCCCUUGACCUGACUUCUUCUUCAAGCGUUGUGGACGAGGAGAGCACCAACCUCGCCACAAGGUUCUUCUCUAGCCUUCCGGAAAAUGAC